rnacentral:misc_RNA from 1 species
GGCCCUUCUACGCGGAAGGUUCCAAGACGAUGGCAUUCGAAAUUGCCGAACAGCUCGGCUGGAAGGCGCCCACAUCCAUCGUCGUUCCAAUGGCUGGCGGCGCCCUGCUCUCAAAGAUUCAUAAGGGGCUCGGUGAACUCGAGCGCAUCGGGCUGCUGAGGGAACCCGUCACGACGAAGCUCUACGGCGCACAAGCAGCGGGAUGCAAUCCGAUCGUCGAUGCGGUCCGAAGAAAGAGCAUCGAUAUCCGCCCCGUGAAACCGAACACGAUCGCCAAGUCGCUGGCGAUCGGCAACCCGGCGGACGGGUAUUACGCGUCCGGAUUCAUUCAGAAGACCGGCGGCUGGGCCGAUGACGCGACAGACCCCGAGAUCUCCGAUGGUAUUCAGCUGCUCGCGGGAAACCGAGGGCAUCUUUACUGAAACCGCGGGCGGCGUGAGCAUCGCCGUCACGAAAAAGCUCAUCAAAAGCGGCCAUAUCGAUCGCAAGGGCGUCACGGUUAUCGCGAUUACGGGCAAUGGCUUGAAAACACCCGACGCGGUACCCUUUGAGUCGCCGGAGGUCAUCGACGCGAAGAUCGAUUCCUUCGAGCGGGUUCUGAAAGGAGUUGCUCAUGUCGCUUAAGGUCGUCAUCCCGACCCCGCUUCGAAAACACACUGCGGGCGCCGAGAUCGUCGAAGUGGACGCCGGCACCGUGAAAGAAGUCAUCGACCGGCUUGAAAGCAAACAUCCCGGAAUUCGCAACAGCAUUUGCGACGACAGCGGUGGGCUGCGCCGCUUCAUCAACAUCUACGUUGACGGCGAAGAUGUGCGGUUUCUCGACAACCUCAGCACCCCCGCCAGAGACGGUUCGGAAAUCGCGAUAGUUCCCGCCAUCUCGGGCGGAAAGUAUUAGCCACGGAUCAGACGGACAGGGAGGGGUCUAAUUCGGGGACGGUCACCAAAUUCGUAUGCGAAGUUACUUCGCUCGACGAGUAAUGUCGUAGGAAUUUGGUGACCGUCCCCGAAUUAGACCCCUCCCUGUCCGUCUAAUCCGUGGCUAAUAUCUGAAUUCUCCAGCUAUAUUUCCUUCCAUGCGAAAACUGAUACUCCUUCUUGUCGUCAGCAUUUUUGCGAUUCCUGGACACUCCCAAACCGUUGAGGAACAACUGCGCGCUAUGCAGGCCGAGAUUCAGGCGUUGCGCGCGGAAGUCAAUGAGCUCAAGCAGGGAAUGCGGGGAGUGCCUGUCGUCCAGGCACAGGUGGCGGAGUUCGCGCAGACCAAAGUGGAAAGCAGCA